rnacentral:sRNA from 1 species
CAUCUUCGACUUGUUGGGGACAAAUAAAAUGAAUGUGUGAGUCAAUUCCGCCAGCGGUCACUAUCAAGCCCUCGCCUGCAAUAACUUCUGUUCCCGCACCUAGAAUAAUGUCGACGGCGGGUUGGAUAUCAGGAUUACCCGCUUUUCCAAUGGCAUAAAUUCGUCCGUUUUUUAGCCCAAUAUCAGCUUUUAUAAUUCCCCAAUAAUCAAUAAUCAGGGCGUUUGUAAUAACGGUGUCGACAAUAUCGGCACUGGUUGCUUGACCUUGUCCCAUGCCGUCGCGGAUA